GCCUAUGAUACUGUUUGGAUGAUUGCUAAUGCCAUGAAAAUGUUUUUAGAUCAAGGCAACACCAUUUCAUUUUCCAAUGAUUCAAAAUUAAGUGGUCUAGGAAGUGGGACUCUGAAUCUUGGAGCAUUAAGCAUUUUUGAUGGAGGAAAGCAGUUGCUUAAAAACAUAUUGCAGACAAAUAUGACAGGUCUGACAGGACCUAUUCAAUUUAAUCCCGACAGGUCUCUUUUGUAUCCUUCAUAUGAUAUCCUCAAUGCA
rnacentral:misc_RNA from 1 species